AAACCUGAUAUGACUUAGUGGCGGACGGGUGAGUAACACGUGAGCAACCUGCCUUUCAGAGGGGGAUAACGGCUGGAAACGACUGCUAAUACCGCAUGAUACAUUUGGGUGGCAUCAUCUGAAUGUCAAAGAUUUAUCGCUGAAAGAUGGGCUCGCGUCUGAUUAGAUAGUUGGUGGGGUAACGGCCUACCAAGUCUACGAUCAGUAGCCGGUCUGAGAGGAUGAACGGCCACAUUGGGACUGAGACACGGUCCAAACUCC
rnacentral:rRNA from 1 species